GACUCUGGACCACAAAAGAGCGGUCGGAUCGGGAUGCUGCAUAAACGCGGCAACUGUGUUGGCAGUAAUUGACAGCUGCCGAAAAGCGGCGGCGGUCGGGCGUGAGUGCGCGGUCGCGAGGGGCGCGCGAUUGGGGUGAAAAAUCGGCGCGAAUGUAUGUACGUGAUAUCAACGCGAGAGUUUCGAAUCGCAGGGAGCGAUAACUACGGAGACAAUCAUCGGCCGUCCUCAUCUGAUCCUAUCGGCGUCUCGACGGUUUGCCCUGCUGUGCACGAGGGAGAAAGAGAGAUAUCUUUUUAAAGGCCCGGGCGUGUUUACAGUUCCACGUGUAUCUCUCUCUCGAGAUUUGUUUCUUUGGCCUUCCUUCCAAGUUUGUGUAUUACUUGACGAAAAGAGAAGAUACUACAAUAGGAAAAAAGGAAACUUUUUCGUUCUGUUUAAAAUCUAAUCAUCAUAAGAGGAGAAAGAUUAUAAUAGACAGUGCAGCUCUCUAAGAAGAACACGUCUGUUGCUUUUGAUGAUAGUAAAAGCGGUGCAAGUGAGACGAAAAUUUGCUGGAGAACGUGAGCCCUCGUUCGUAAGAACUUUGGUUUCUGUUCUGACUCCCAGAUAUGUGCCCGACGGCGCGAGGACAUGCCCCUUUCUGUCAACGCGUUGAACGACUUUUGAAGAGAUAUAGUACUCGUAAGCGCGACGCACACGAGUAUCAACGCCACAAGAUCUUGCGAUCGAAUCAAAUUUGAUGAUGCCGAUGAGAUUGUAUCAGGUGUCACAUGACGUUUGUAAAGAGAGAAAAAAAGGAGAGUAAAACAGAGCGAAAUAUGUAAAUUUCAUUCGAGUAGAGGGACAAGAUGAGUGCGGAUUCUUGCGAGAGACGCUAGGAAGGAUAAAGUGGGAGAAGAGGGGAAAACGAGAGGAGAGGAGGAAAAAAAAGCGCUAUGGAGUGAUGAACGAAAGAGGUGCGGAGGGAGGAUAUCGUGAUGAAGCGGGCGCGGGGACAGGAGAGACAAAGAGAGAAAGAGAAAGAGAGAGCUCGCGCGAUGUAUAAGGUAUAGGCUUUAGUUUGGGCAGCCCUCUUGGAAUGCGGCGGUCGCUUACAGCUUACACCACGCUGCGUAUAUAUACGUACAUACACGUAUAUUCAAUGCCGCGUAUAGGUACCUACAUACGGGUUUCAACACCGCGUCAAGAGUAUCACGCACCCCGACUAUCAUACUUUCGUCCGCACCCACGCGUUCGCGCUCAGCUGUAUCGGGCAAAUCUUCAAAUCUUUGUAAUCCUUUAACACUUCGCGAACUAAAUAAACGAAGAAAAAACGGUGCAAGUAGGCAAGUUCCGUAAAGUUAGUACCUCAUUCUUAAAAUUGCCUGGGAAAAAGUCGAUAUAUAAUCUCACAAAUAUAAAUAUA